rnacentral:rRNA from 1 species
UACGAAGGGGGCUAGCGUUGCUCGGAAUCACUGGGCGUAAAGCGCACGUAGGCGGCUUUCUAAGUCAGAGGUGAAAUCCUGGAGCUCAACUCCAGAACUGCCUUUGAUACUGGAAAGCUUGAGUCCGGGAGAGGUGAGUGGAACUGCGAGUGUAGAGGUGAAAUUCGUAGAUAUUCGCAAGAACACCAGUGGCGAAGGCGGCUUACUGGUCCGGUUCUGACGCUGAGGCGCGAAAGCGUGGGGAGCAAACAGG